rnacentral:piRNA from 1 species
UAGAAGAAAACUUCCUCCAGUUUGUGGUC